CACUUUUACUAUAUAGGACUGAAAGCACCUGACCUCUUCUAAACUUGGAACCUAAGCAGACCAGGAUCUGUAGGUAGCUGGAUGGGGAAGAAAAUCACAUGAAAAUACGCAAAAGUCCAAGAGU
rnacentral:rRNA from 1 species